rnacentral:rRNA from 1 species
UGUCUUUUUGUAAAUAAUAUAAAGUCUAAUCUGCCCACUGAUUAUAAAUUGAAGGGCUGCAGUAUAUUGACUGUACAAAGGUAGCAUAAUCAUUAGUCAUUUAAUUGAUGACUCGUAUGAAAGAUUGGAUGAAAUAUAAACUGUCUCUUAAUUAUUAAUAUAAUUUAAUUUUUAAAUUAAAAAGUUUAAAUAAAUUAAAAAGACGAGAAGACCCUAUAGAGUUUUAUAGUUAAUUUAAUUAAGAUUAUUUUUUAUUUAAAAUUGAAAUUAAAUUAAAUAUUUUGUUGGGGUGACAGAAAAAUAAAUAUAACUUUUUUUAAUUUAUUAACAUUUAUAAGUGAAUAAAUGAUCCAAUAUUAUUGAUUAUAAGAAAAAAUUACCUUAGGGAUAACAGCGUAAUUUUUUUUUUUAGUUCAUAUAAGAAAAAGAGUUUGCGACCUCGAUGUUGGAUUAAGAUAAAAUUUAAAUGCAGAAG